AUUGAACGCUGGCGGAAUGCUUUACACAUGCAAGUCGAACGGCAGCACGGGGGCAACCCUGGUGGCGAGUGGCGAACGGGUGAGUAAUACAUCGGAACGUGCCCAGUCGUGGGGGAUAACGUAGCGAAAGUUACGCUAAUACCGCAUACGAUCUACGGAUGAAAGCGGGGGACCGUAAGGCCUCGCGCGAUUGGAGCGGCCGAUGUCAGAUUAGGUAGUUGGUGAGGUAAAGGCUCACCAAGCCGACGAUCUGUGGCUGGUCUGAGAGGACGACCAGCCACACUGGGACUGAGACACGGCCCAGACUCCUACGGGAGGCAGCAGUGGGGAAUUUUGGACAAUGGGCGCAAGCCUGAUCCAGCCAUUCCGCGUGCAGGACGAAGGCCUUCGGGUUGUAAACUGCUUUUGUACGGAACGAAAAGGCUCUGGUUAAUACCUGGGGCUCAUGACGGUACCGUAAGAAUGAGCACCGGCUAACUACGUGCCAGCAGCCGCCGCGG
rnacentral:rRNA from 1 species